AUACGUAGGGGGCAAGCGUUAUCCGGAUUUACUGGGUGUAAAGGGAGCGCAGACGGCAGAGCAAGUCUGAUGUGAAAGCCCGGGGCUCAACCCCGGAACUGCAUUGGAAACUGCUGAGCUUGAGUGUCGGAGGGGUAAGCGGAAUUCCUAGUGUAGCGGUGAAAUGCGUAGAUAUUAGGAGGAACACCGGUGGCGAAGGCGGCUUACUGGACGAUCACUGACGUUGAGGCUCGAAAGCGUGGGGAGCAAACAGGAUUAGAUACCCUGGUAGUCCACGCUGUAAACGAUGAAUACUAGGUGUGGGUGUGCACUGCACAUCCGUGCCGCAGCUAACGCAGUAAGUAUUCCACCUGGGGAGUACGUUCGCAAGAAUGAAACUCAAAUGAAUUGACGGGG
rnacentral:rRNA from 1 species